ensembl:lncRNA
CAAGAUCAGAACCAUGAACAUGACUCUACAAAUGAUUUUUAUCUUAUGGAAAGGUUCGACUUUAAUUUUUCCUAAAAUAUACCGUUUAUUAGUUUUGUUUUAUUAGCAGGUUUUUUUCUUUCCUGUAACUCUUUCUUCUUUCUGUUAUGGACCCGUCUAACUCCAUCAUGACAGCUGUGAAACUUGAACAUCUAACUUUCACAACAUUCUGUUAUGAGAAUACAGAAGGAAGUCAGAUGCCUCUGAGGCUGACCAACAAUCCAGGAUGGAAGCAAAGCAAAACAACGUAAAGAAGACCAAAGGAACCUGCUUUAAGUCACGCUUUCAGUCUGCACUACAAGCUUUGCUGGUGUCUCGUGCCCCGUUCUGUAUGACCUCAAUUCCCACCAGAGGUAUUCCAUUAAAUUAACCAAGCUCAUCACUGUUAAUGUUAGUUUUUUUAUAUUUUUAAUAUUGGUGGUAUACUGUUUGUUUUCUAUUUUAUUUGUAUACAUAUCUUUAAUGACACAUUUUGCUGG